rnacentral:rRNA from 1 species
AGCAGAGAUGCUUUAGUGCCUUCGGGAACUCUGAGACAGGUGCUGCAUGGCUGUCGUCAGCUCGUGUUGUGAAAUGUUGGGUUAAGUCCCGNAACGAGCGCAACCCUUUAUCCUUUGUUGCCAGCACGUAAUGGUGGGAACUCAAAGGAGACUGCCGGUGAUAAACCGGAGGAAGGUGGGGAUGACGUCAAGUCAUCAUGGCCCUUACGAGUAGGGCUACACACGUGCUACAAUGGCGCAUACAAAGAGAAGCGACCUCGCGAGAGCAAGCGGACCUCAUAAAGUGCGUCGUAGUCCGGAUUGGAGUCUGCGACUCGACUCCAUGAAGUCGGAAUCGCUAGUAAUCGUAAAUCAGAAUGUUACGGUGAAUACGUUCCCGGGCCUUGUACACACCGCCCGUCACACCAUGGGAGUGGGUUGCAAAAGAAGUAGAUAGCUUAACCUUCGGGAGGGCGUUUACCACUUUGUGAUUCAUGACUGGGGUGAAGUCGUAACAAGGUAAGCGUAGUGCU